rnacentral:ncRNA from 1 species
GGAAUGAUUGGGCGUAAAGCGUCUGUAGGUGGCUUUUUAAGUCCGCCGUCAAAUCCCAGGGCUCAACCCUGGACAGGCGGUGGAAACUACCAAGCUGGAGUACGGUAGGGGCGCGAAGAAGCCCGUGCUUCUUUUGUUGAAAUAAGGACAACAGUAGCAAAGAAAGAAGCUGCUCACUCUACUUUACCGAGAAAGGGGUGACUAUCAUACGGAAAUUGGUUCUGGAAGGCACAUGAGUCCGAACGCU